UAUAUCUGGGUAUACACCAUGGCGGUGUAGGUGUAAACAGCGGCGGUGGAGGAGGAGGUAGCCAACAACUUUUUUAAAAAAAAUUAAUUGGGGUAGCCCCCAAAAUAUUGGGACAUAUAAAAAAAGAAAAAAAAGAAUAAAUGCACUUGGGUACAAUGGCUGGAUGAGUCCGGUAUAAAUGUCUAUUCUGCACAAGGUACAGACAAGUCUGGUGGGAACCAUGCCUGGUUCAUUGUAAUAAACGUGAGCUUGUGGACAGGCGGCUGCGCUUGUCUGUGAUAACCUCGUGCCGAUUGCACGUCCCCGUGACGGUGACAACACAUUCACAUGUCUGACCUAUCAACUUUCGAUGCUAUUUUCCGCGCCUACCAUGGUGACCACGGGUAACUAGGAAUCAGGGUUCGAUUUCAGAGAGGGAGCCUGAGAAACAGCUAUCACAUGCAAGAAAGGCAGCAGGCGCGCAAAUUACCCACUCCCGACGAGGGGAGGUAGUGACGACAAAUAACAAUACACUACUCUUUCGAGAACCUGUAAUUGUAAUGAGUCCACUUUAAAUCCUUUAACUUGGAUCAAUUGGAGGGCACGUCUGCUGCAGAGCGACUGACCCAUGAGUGCUGCAGCUGAAAC